rnacentral:rRNA from 1 species
UACGUAGGGGGCUAGCGUUGUCCGGAAUCAUUGGGCGUAAAGAGCGUGUAGGCGGUCCGGUAAGUCCGCUGUGAAAGUCGGGGGCUCAACCCUCGAAUGCCGGUGGAUACUGUCGGGCUAGAGUGCGGAAGAGGGAAGCGGAAUUUCCGGUGGUAGCGGUGAAAUGCGUAGAUAUCGGAAGGAACAUCAGUGGGCAGAAAAG